AUGUACGAGUGGCACUAGUGGGCCUGGAGGCCUGGACCCAGCGUGACCUGGUGGAGAUCAGCCCAAACCCAGCUGUCACCCUCGAAAACUUCCUCCACUGGCGCAGGGCACAUUUGCUGCCUCGAUUGCCCCAUGACAGUGCCCAGCUGGUGACGUAAGGGCCCCAGACUCAGCCAGAGAGGCCAGUCCUGUCCUGGCCAAAUUCACACCCCUUCAGCACCCUACCUCAGCCCCUGAAGCUCUGACCACCGUGGCUUCUGGCCCUGAACUUUAGCCUCUCUGUCCCACAGUGGUACUUCAUUCUCUGGGCCUACGGUGGGCAUGGCCAUUCAGAACUCCAUCUGUUCUCCUGACUUCUCAGGAGGUGUGAACAUGGACCACUCCACCAGCAUCCUGGGAGUCGCCUCCUCCAUAGCCCAUGAGUUGGGCCACAGCCUGGGCCUGGACCAUGAUUUGCCUGGGAAUAGCUGCCCCUGUCCAGGUCCAGCCCCAGCCAAGACCUGCAUCAUGGAGGCCUCCACAGACUUCCUACCAGGCCUGAAUUUCAGCAACUGCAGCCGACGG
rnacentral:sRNA from 1 species